rnacentral:rRNA from 1 species
UACGAAGGGGGCUAGCGUUGUUCGGAAUCACUGGGCGUAAAGGGCGCGUAGGCGGCCGAUCAAGUCGGGGGUGAAAGCCUGUGGCUCAACCACAGAAUUGCCUUCGAUACUGUUUGGCUUGAGACCGGAAGAGGUAAGUGGAACUGCGAGUGUAGAGGUGAAAUUCGUAGAUAUUCGGAAGGAACACCAAGUGGCGGAAGGCGGCUCACUGGACCGGUAUUGACGCUGAGGUGGCGAAAGCG